rnacentral:lncRNA from 1 species
UAUGUUCAUCUGUGCAAAUAUAUCAAUGUGUACCAAACUCAGAAUAUCACUAGCUCAUACACCCUUUCUAAUAAAAGGUAACUAAGUCAACUAUGUCAAAGGUAGGCUUCAAUGAUAUUAUCUAAUCUAGGAUGCUAGCUAGAUGUGUACUUCAUAUUAACAGAUUAUGGUACUAAGUUUAUAUCAUGUUCAAUUAUUUACUCA